CUACGGGCCGCUCCAGUGAGGAAUAUUGCACAAUGGGGUGAACCCUGAUGCAGCAACGCCGCGUGGAGGAUGACGUAUUUCGGUGUGUAAACUCCUUUUAUAUGUCAAGAAAAUGACGGUAGCAUAUGAAUAAGCACCGGCUAACUCCGUGCCAGCAGCCGCGGUAAUACGGAGGGUGCAAGCGUUACUCGGAAUCACUGGGCGUAAAGGACGCGUAGGCGGGUUGGAAAGUCAGGUGUGAAAUCCUACGGCUUAACUGUAGAACUGCACUUGAAACUUCUAAUCUAGAGUAUGGGAGGGGAGGUGGAAUUAGUGGUGUAGGGGUAAAAUCCGUAGAUAUCACUAGGAAUACCUAAAGCGAAGGCGAUCUCCUGGAACAUUACUGACGCUAAGGCGUGAAAGCGUGGGGAGCAAACAGGAUUAGAUACCCCCGUAGUC
rnacentral:rRNA from 1 species